UUUAGAGGAACUUUAUUCAGACGGAAGUGCAAUGAGAGAGCUGCCGCUUGUUAUGAAAAACCUCAAACGUCUAAGCUUUGCUAAAUCAUCAACUUCAAGGGAUGGCAUUGGUAUUGGAAUUGGGUGGGGCCUUGAAUGUUUAUUUGGUAGCUCUGAUGCCAACAAUGAACCGGGAAGUGAUAGCUAAGAUGACGACGAUGAGCCAUCAGCAAAAGAUUCUAGAAAGUCUAAAUUAUUUUGUGCUUGGUUCAAUCAUUCAAUGAGGUAGGAGAUGAAUUGGGAGAAACUUAUGAAGAUGGCCCGUGCGGUUCGCACUGGUGGAAAGGGUAGCACGAGGAGUUCCCAACUUCAGAAAGGAGAAGACUGUUCACAAGACAACUACCGCAGAUGACAAAAGGCUUCAGAGCACCAUUAAGAGAAUAGGGGGUGAACGCUAUUCCUGCAAUCAAGGAAGUUAACAUAUUUACGGAUGAUGUUUUCAUCCAGUUCAUAAACCCCAGAGGGUUGCAAGAUAUUCUUCCCAGUAUAUUAUCAGCCGCUUGGGGACUUGGACAAUUUGAUGAAACUGGCAGAGCAGUUCCAGAAGCAAGCCCCUGGUGCUGGUGCUGCUGGUGGAAUCACUCCACAAGAGGAUGAUGAUGACGAGGUCCCUGAGCUUGUUGCUGGUGAGACCUUCGAAGCUGCUUCGUAGAGAGUUUCAAGCUGUUAAUUUUAUCUUUUCGGUUAAAAUCUAGUUUUACUAUUUCCUAAUGCUUGAUCGAUUAUUGUGUUUAAAGAUUAUUUUCCUGUUUUUAGAUGAUUGUUAUAAACACAUCAAGUAACGAAACCCUUUUAAGCCUUCUGAUUCUGGAGUUGUGGCAACGAUACCCUUCCACAAACGUACUUUUA